rnacentral:rRNA from 1 species
UACAGAGGGUGCGAGCGUUAAUCGGAAUUACUGGGCGUAAAGCGUGCGUAGACGGCUAUCUAAGUCGGGUGUGAAAUCCCCAGGCCUAACCUGGGAACUGCAUUCGAGACUGCAUGGCUAGAGUAUCGGAGAGGGAAGUGGAAUUUCAGGUGUAGCGGUGAAAUGCGUAGAUAUCUGAAGGAACAUCAGUGGCGAAAGCGACUUCCUGGACGAAUACUGACGCUCAUGUGCGAAAGCGUGGGGAGCAAACAGG